CUUGCUCUGUGGGAUCAGUGGCGAACGGGUGAGUAACACGUGAGCAACCUGCCCCUGACUCUGGGAUAAGCGCUGGAAACGGCGUCUAAUACUGGAUACGAGUAGCGGCCGCAUGGUCAGUUACUGGAAAGAUUUUUUGGUUGGGGAUGGGCUCGCGGCCUAUCAGCUUGUUGGUGAGGUAAUGGCUCACCAAGGCGUCGACGGGUAGCCGGCCUGAGAGGGUGACCGGCCACACUGGGACUGAGACACGGCCCAGACUCCUACGGGAGGCAGCAGUGGGGAAUAUUGCACAAUGGGCGAAAGCCUGAUGCAGCAACGCCGCGUGAGGGAUGACGGCCUUCGGGUUGUAAACCUCUUUUAGCAGGGAAGAAGCGAAAGUGACGGUACCUGCAGAAAAAGCGCCGGCUAACUACGUGCCAGCAGCCGCGGUAAUACGUAGGGCGCAAGCGUUAUCCGGAAUUAUUGGGCGUAAAGAGCUCGUAGGCGGUUUGUCGCGUCUGCUGUGAAAUCCCGAGGCUCAACCUCGGGCCUGCAGUGGGUACGGGCAGACUAGAGUGCGGUAGGGGAGAUUGGAAUUCCUGGUGUAGCGGUGGAAUGCGCAGAUAUCAGGAGGAACACCGAUGGCGAAGGCAGAUCUCUGGGCCGUAACUGACGCUGAGGAGCGAAAGGGUGGGGAGCAAACAGGCUUAGAUACCCUGGUAGUCCACCCCGUAAACGUUGGGAACUAGUUGUGGGGUCCAUUCCACGGAUUCCGUGACGCAGC
rnacentral:rRNA from 1 species